UACGGGGGGGGGUAAGCGUUGUUCGGACUUACUGGGCGUAACGGGCUCGUAGGCGGCCAACUAAGUCAGACGUGAAAUCCCUCAGCUUAACCGGGGAACUGCGUCUGAUACUGGAUGGCUAGAGUUUGGGAGAGGGAUGCGGAAUUCCAGGUGUAGCGGUGAAAUGCGUAGAUAUCUGGAGGAACCCCAGAGGCGAAGGCGGCGCCCUGGCUCGCAACUGACACUGAGAGACGAAAGCCAGGGGAGCAAACGGG
rnacentral:rRNA from 1 species